GUUUAAGUUGGGAGGAAGGGCAGUAACCUAAUAGUUAGUGUUUGGAUGUUACCGACAGAAUAAGCUCCGGCUAACUUUGUACCAGCAGCCGCGGUAAUACAGAGGGUGCAACGUUGAUCGGAAUUACAGGGGCGUAUAAUGCGCGUAGGUUGGUUCGUUAAGUUGGAUGUAAAAUCCCCGGUGCUCAACCUGGGAACUGCUUUCAAAGCUGUCGAGCUUAGAGGAUGGUAAGGGGGUGAUGAAAUUUCCUGGUGUCGCGAUGAAAAUGCGUAAAAUCUAGGGAAGGAACACCAGUGGCGAAGGCGACCACCCUGGACUGAUCCUGACACUUGAGGGGCGAAGGGCGUGGGGAGCAAACAGGAUUAGAUACCCUGGGAUUCCACGCCCGUACACGAUGUAAACUAGUCGUUGGGAAGCCUUGGAGCUCUUAGCGGCGCUGCUAACGCAUUAAAGUUGACCGCCUUGGGAGGUACUGCCCGAAGGUUAAAACUCGAAUUUAUUUGACGGGGUCCCCGCACCAGCCGCGGGAGCAUGUGAUUUAAUUCGUAACAACGGAAAAAACCUUACCCAUGUAUUGAGAUUCCAAUGAACUUUGCAAGAAGAUGGAUGGGUGCCUUCCCGUAACAUAUGAGACAAGAUC
rnacentral:rRNA from 1 species